GACGAACGCUGGCGGCGUGCUUAACACAUGCAAGUCGAACGCUGAAGCUCAGCUUUUGUUGGGUGGAUGAGUGGCGAACGGGUGAGUAACACGUGAGUAACCUGCCCCCUUCUUUGGGAUAACGCCCGGAAACGGGUGCUAAUACUGGAUAUUCACUGGUCUUCGCAUGGGGGUUGGUGGAUAGGGUUUUUCUGGUGGGGGAUGGGCUCGCGGCCUAUCAGCUUGUUGGUGGGGUGAUGGCCUACCAAGGCUUUGACGGGUAGCCGGCCUGAGAGGGUGACCGGUGACAUUGGGACUAAGAUACGGCCCAGACUCCGACGGGAGGCAGCAGUGGGGAAUAUUGAACAAUGGGGGCAAGACUGAUGCAGCGACGCCGCGUGAGGGAUGGAGGCCUUAGGGUUGUGAACCUCUUUCGCUCAUGGUCAAGCCGAAACAAUGGUUGUGGUGAGGGUAGUGGGUAAAGAAGCGCCGGCUAACUACGUG
rnacentral:rRNA from 1 species